CAUCCAGCAGCUGUCAUCCGAAAUCUGGGAACGAGGUGUCUGCGGCGCGGGCGGGGCGGGGGCAGCCUCAGCCUCGAGGGGACGGGGGACCCGGCGCGGCGGCGGCAGGGAGCAGGCCGGUCCCGCCCUCUCCAGCGCCGCCCCGUCCCGCGCCGCCCCGUCCCGCGCCUCUCUGCCCCUCAUCCCUUCCUGCGACCGCGCCUGCCCGCUGGAGCCUCUGCCGGGCAGGUGCGGAGGGAGCGCCGAGCUGGCCCCGGUGGCGGCCGCGUGUCUGCGGGGAGGAGUUUUCAGAGAAUGAGCUGGAAUAUAGUCCUGUUGUUAAACUGCUGAUGGUGAGGACUAGAAAAUCCAAGUGCUCUUCCUCUCAAUUUGCAGUGUGAGUGGGAAGUGGAUUGAAAUUGAACCAGAAUGGCUGCUGUUACCUCAGAUAGUCCUCCAAACUCAAGCUGCAAAAUCAUGACUUUUAGGCCUUCAAUGGAUGAAUUCAGGGAGUUCAACAAGUACUUAGCACAUAUGGAAUCACAAGGUGCUCAUAGGGCUGGAGUUGCAAAGGUUAUCCCACCAAAGGAAUGGAAACCAAGGAAACAUUAUGAUGAUAUUGAAGAUCUGGUGAUUCCUGCUCCAAUUCAACAGAUGGUCACUGGCCAGUCUGGACUUUUCACACAGUACAAUAUUCAGAAAAAGCCCAUGACAGUGAAGGAGUUCAAGCAGCUAGCCAACAGUGACAAAUACCGCACUCCAAGAUAUGUAGACUAUGAAGAUCUGGAGCGUAAAUACUGGAAGAACUUGACUUUUGUGGCACCAAUUUAUGGAGCAGAUAUCAAUGGGAGCAUUUAUGAUGAAGGUAUUGAGGAAUGGAAUAUUGCCCAUCUUAAUACAAUAUUGGAUGUUGUAGGAGAAGAGUGUGGAAUUUCUAUCGAGGGUGUAAAUACACCAUAUCUUUAUUUUGGCAUGUGGAAAACAACAUUUGCGUGGCACACUGAAGACAUGGAUCUCUACAGUAUUAAUUAUCUCCAUUUUGGGGAGCCAAAGUCAUGGUAUGCUAUUCCUCCAGAGCAUGGGAAACGGCUUGAAAGACUAGCUCAAGGGUUCUUUCCGAGCAGCUCUCAAGGAUGUGAUGCUUUUCUUCGCCACAAGAUGACCCUGAUUUCUCCGUCAAUAUUGAAAAAGUACGGAAUUCCUUUUGACAAGGUUACCCAAGAGGCAGGAGAAUUUAUGAUCACUUUCCCAUAUGGAUACCAUGCAGGGUUUAACCAUGGAUUUAAUUGUGCUGAGUCAACAAACUUUGCCACCAUUCGAUGGAUUGAUUAUGGAAAAGCAGCAAAAUUGUGCACUUGUAGGAGAGACAUGGUGUCAAUAUCCAUGGAUGUCUUUGUGAGGAAGUUUCAACCAGACAGAUACCAGCUGUGGAAACAGGGCAAGGAUUUAUAUACCAUUGAUCAUACAAAACCAACUCCUGAAUCAACACCUGAAGUAAAGAUCUGGCUACAAAGAAGAAGGAAAGUACAAAACUUUCCCAAGAGGAUCUUUAUGGAUUUUCUUCAUUAUCUAACAAAGAUCUACUUAAUUUCUAGCCAAAGCUUCCAGCACACCAGAUCUCGAUCUAAAAAGCUUAAAACUCCAGAGGACAAGAGAGUAUCUGCUAUGGUAGCUGAUGCAGAAAUCAUAACGACUGAAGCAGCUAUUGAUGGCUUCAAGGUCAGUGAAGAGCCAGAAAAAAAAGUAAGAGUGGUAAACACAGGAGUGCCUUCUGGGGAAGAGGAAAACAGUACUAGAAUACGUCCGGAUCAGCAUUUAUUGGAUCAUGUCAAGGUUGCAGGAAGCAUCCCUUCAGACUCAAUUUUGAGCCCUGUUCCUGUACUAGAGAAAACAAAAAUGGAAGAUGAGGACAGGAUAGAUUCCAGUCAUUCUUCUUUUACACUUGAAGAUUCUGUGGCCAGCAAGCCUGCUUCUGAUAGCAGUAGAAAAGAAGAAAGUUUGAAAUCUCAGAAUGAAUAUGUUUCAUCCAUACCAUACCAUAAAGCAGAGGGACAAACUUAUGAAACAGAAAAUCCAGAUAGAGAGGAAAGUGUCUCGACAGAGGAUUGUAUCAGCAACCUGGAAAGUUAUGGAAGUAGUUUGGAACAUGGAAAAGUGCCCAUUGUAAAAAAGGAUGAAGAAGACAGCAUGGAAAUAUCUUGUUCAGAGGAAGUUGAAAGAAAGAAGAUAUCUAAGAGCUGGCGUCAUCCACUACAUAAACCCCCAGCUAGAUCUCCAAUGACUUUGGUUAAACAGCAAGUGACUAGUGAUGAAGAACUGCCUGAGACUACCUUAGUUGAAGAGAAAGUUCAGGAGUCAGAGGCAUGGGCGAGACCUCUGGUCUACCUGUGGCAGACAAGACCACCCAGUUUUAAAGCUGAAAAAGAGUACAAUGCAGCUUGUGCAAGAAAAGAACCACACUGUGCCAUUUGCACUCUUCUUAUGCCAUACUAUAAGCCAGAAAAUCAAGAUGAAGAAAGUCCUACUUUCAGUGAAGCAAACUCAGCAGAAACACUGAUGGCAGAAAAGGAGAAGACAAAACCUCUUAUUCCAGAGAUGUGUUUUAUUUAUAGUGAAGAAAAUACUGAAAAUUAUCCAUCAAAUGCCUUUGUUGAAGAAGAUGGAACAAGUCUUCUGAUUUCAUGUGCAAAGUGUUGCGUACGAGUUCAUGCAAGUUGCUAUGGUGUUCCUUUUCAUGAAAUCCAUAACGAGUGGUUGUGUUCUCGAUGCAGAAAAAAAGCCUGGACAGCUGAAUGUUGUCUCUGCAAUUUGAGAGGUGGUGCAUUAAAGCAAACUACUGACAAAAAGUGGGCACAUGUAAUAUGUGCAAUUGCCAUCCCAGAAGUCAGAUUUGGUAAUGUCACAGAGCGUACUCCGAUAGACACUAGCAGAAUACCUUUGCAAAGAUUAAAAUUGAAAUGUAUCUUCUGCAGGCAGAGAGUUAAGAAAAUCUCUGGUGCCUGCAUUCAGUGUUCAUAUGGACGCUGCCCAGCAUCCUUCCAUGUUACCUGUGCCCAUGCUGCAGGAGUGCUGAUGGAACCUGAUGACUGGCCAUAUGUUGUCUACAUCACAUGUUUCAGGCACAAGACCAACCAAAAUGUGAGAGCUAAAGUAUGUGGGAAAGCCAUUACAGUUGGGCAGACAGUCAUCACGAAACACAGAAAUACACGAUACUAUAGUUGCAGAGUCAUAGGAGUGACAUCUCAGCUUUUCUAUGAAGUCAUGUUUGAUGAUGGCUCCUUCAGUCUGGAUACUUUUCCUGAAGACAUUGUACUCACAAAGAUAGCAGGAGCUUUUUGCUCUUCCAGAAUGUGCAGAAUCCACUACAUAAUUUCAGCUCAGCUCACAAUAGACCAGAAUUCCAAUGUUCAGACACAGUGGUUUAUUUUUAAGGAGGAAAAUAAGGAGCAGGAGCAGAGAUUGCCUAAGGCUGGGUCCACCUGCAGAGGGAGAAGUUGUCCAAGUGAAAUGGCCUGAUGGAAAACUGUAUGGUGCAAAGUAUCUGGGAACAAAUACAGCUCACAUGUAUCAGGUGGAGUUUGAGGAUGGUUCUCAAAUAGUAAUGAAGAGAGAAGAAAUAUAUACACUGGAUGAAGAGCUUCCUAAGAGAGUAAAAGCACGUUUAUCUACAGCUUCUGACAUGAGAUUUGAAGACACAUUUUAUGGAGCAGAUAUUAUCUUGGGAGAGAAGAAAAGGCAGAGAGUAUUGAGUUCUCGCUUUAAGAAUGAAUAUGUGGAUGAUCCAGGAUACCGCACCUUCUUAAAAAGUUCUUUCCAGAAGAAGUGUCAGAAAGGACCAUAAAGGAAGCAAGAGAAGAGAAGGUUCUUGAUUAAAAAGCAUGCAGCAUUAUUCACAAUUGGAUUUCAUUUAACUGAAAGUUUUACAGUGAACUAAUCCAUACACCAGCCUUGUCAUCUGAAGUAUUCGAGUUCUGAUUUCAUCAGUUAAUGUAUUUAAGAAUUUGUAAUAUUUUGUGUCAUAAAACCAGGAGAGAUUUCUAAAGGAUAUGCUGAAGUAAAGUUUCAGUCCUGCUCUCAUUGAAAUAAAUGGUAAAAUUUCCUCUGAAUUCUUUGAUUCACAGUUCUGAGAAGGAGACCUUUUAGAAAACAAGAGAUAAUGGAGUCAGUAGAUUACUUUUUUCUGCACACAGGAAAGGACAUUAAGUUAAAAAUAGCAGUUUUUAUAAAAUAUUUUUAAAAUAAAACCAGAUUUGUACAGUACUGAGACAAAAAAGGCUGUCCUUACUUUGUACAUUUUUAUGUCGCUACUGUUUUCAGUAGGAUUUGAUGUGGACUCAGCUAUUGAUUUAGAUAUUUUUGGCUUUUAAGAGAGGUAUCUUCAGCACAGCAAGGAUAUUUUGUAUAUUUAAAAAGACAGAUUUUGGCAGUUAUUUUUAAACAUGUUUUACAUAAAGUCUAUUAAAAAUGGCUACUUGUAUAAAUUUCUUUCACUGUGGGUAUGAAAAUUAGAGUUUAAAUAUAUAUGCUUAACAGCCUAAUUUUGAAUGACUAUAUUCUGGCUUUUAUUUUGAAAUAAUGUUCUAGCAAUGUAAUAAUGUUUUAAAAUAAAUAAAUACUUUACUACAAUUUCAA